rnacentral:lncRNA from 1 species
CUGUCAAAUAAAUAAACAAAUAAAAUCUUAAAAAAAAAUAGAACUACUUAGGAGGGCCUUGCUGGCUCUGUCAUUAGAGCAUAUGACUCUGUAUUUUAGGGUUAUAAGUUUGAGCCCUGUGUUAGGUGUAGAGAUUACUUAAAAAUAAAAUCUUUAAAAAACCAGAACUAAUCACAGGCCAAUGGUUGUUUUUAGAUGAACACAUUUUGUCUUUUGUCUUCCAUAGAUCACAAUUCAGAGAAGAGGGAUAAAGAAUCCUCUCUCUCCAACAGGAAUAUGAAUGAACCAUUUACUGCUAUAAAUAAAGAAACACUUGAAGCAGCAGCUAAGACAGAUAUUCCAGAUAAGACCGUACCAUGUGAGCAGCUUCUGCAGUUCCUCCAGAGGAACAUCAUCAUUGGUGCUGGCUCGGUGGCGGGAGUCCUCGUGGUCACAGCAUUGUUGCUGCUGGCAUUGACCAUGUGCUGCAGGAGGAAACAGCAAUCACAUCCUCCAGCGAACAUGACAUAUAAUAUUUUUAUUCUGCGUGGGAAGUCUUGGUGGCAGAAGUUUCAAGAAAAGAACCCCCAAAAGCACAGUGAGAAACAGAAACAGUUGUUGAAGGGCAAGUCCUCUGUCUAAGCCAGCUGGUGGGGCCCGCCAAACCAGGACCAGAAGCUGUGAUGCCAGGCAAUUGUCCACCCAGACACCACGGAGAGGCAUUUGAUUUCUGGCUGUGAGGUGUGCUCCACAAAAUGUUUACCUUCUCCUGUUAGUCUCGAAUGGACCAAGACACGGAUGUUGUACUACAGGGUGCUUAGAAUUUGGUACGGCACUGAUAGCUAGGGCAGGAGAUGCAGCACAUUUGCCCAAACACAAACCUGACCAACUACUAAGUUCUUUAUUUAUUAAAGCAUUGAUUCUCUGAUUCAGCCAUUCAGGGAGCAGAUAUUAAUUGAAUGCCUAAUAUGUAGACAAUCUCAAGCAUGAGGCAACCAAAGGUUUUGGAAACAGGCCUGGUCCUUGUGGGUUUCUGAG